GAUCAUAUAGAAUUCUGAUGUUAUUACCGGGCUGAAACUACGUACGAACAGUUGAAGCUGAUUACUUAAUUUUCACUCACUCAAUAGGAACCUUGCAAAGAACAAGCUCAAAAGCCUUCAGUAUGCCGCAUUUGACGGUCUGGAUCAACUGGACAAAUUGGACCUCAGCGGGAACUCGAUCAACACAAUAGAAGACGGUGCAUUCCUUGGUCUCUAUCGUCUGAAGACCUUAUUUCUGAAUUUUAAUCAGAUUAAAAAGAUUGGAGCGUACCUGUUUGCAGAUGUCUACUCCCUUACUACUCUGUAAGUACUGAAGAAUUUUCCAACUGUUUAAUUCUUUUAGGAUUAUCUUUAACUCUACUGCUGAAAAUAUCAAAUAAAUGUACGGCAAAGAAAAAUAAGAAUUGUCAUAGUUGUUUUUAGAUCACUCCGAGCUUCGGGAAUCCCAGGAGGGUUUAGAAAUAGACUAAAUGGCCAGUCCUGAGGCACAAAUGUUACUCACGUGGACAGCCCGAGUGGCUUCGCACGCCUUUCGCGGAUGAACUGAAUAGCAUACCUAAAAAUAGCUUGAGAAGGAUUAGCUUUAGAAUAAAGCCUGCCCUUCAUGCCCUCUUAACUCUGUAUGUCUGGUUUGUGGUGUCACACCAUCAAAAG